rnacentral:tRNA from 1 species
CAGGGAGACAACAAAAUGUUUAAUAUUAUUAUUUUGUCACCUUAGGUCGAUCGGUAUCUCACGUUUUUAAUUUAUUAAGAAUUUCAUUUCCUAAGUUUUUCUAGGUCACACCCAUUAUUUUUCCUGGGCCAUUAGCUCAGGUGGUUAGAGCGCACCCCUGAUAAGGGUGAGGUCCCUGGUUCAAGUCCAGGAUGGCCCAUAUCUCUAUGUUGGGGGUAUAGCUCAGUUGGUAGAGCGCCUGCCUUGCAAGCAGGAUGUCAGCGGUUCGAGUCCGCUUACCUCCACUGAUUACCACCUCUUCCAUAACCGGUAGAAAGGAAAUGCUUUGAGUUGUGAUCAAUUCUGAAAGAAUCUAGCUUCCUAAUGAAAUCAUUAAGAUGCUGGACUCAUUGAAUUAAUUUCAUUGUUUUCAGAGAACCUUGACAACUGCAUAGAUUAUUUUUAAAGACAAUAAGCAUCUUUAAGAUGCAGAUUUAUUAUUUGUGCGAAUGCAUUAAAUAACAAUUCUAUUAAGCUGAUGCUUCAAUUUUGAAGUUAUU